rnacentral:lncRNA from 1 species
CAGUCCUCUGUGUCCUUCACACAAGAAGAGAGACACACACACACACACACACACACACAUACAGGAGCACCCUCAUUACCGCCUUCCACAUGAACACACACACACACACACACACACAUACACACACCUCUUUGGAGGAGAGCUGGAUUUCUCCUUUGAGGGGCUCAGCUGGGCUGAGAGCCCCCAGUGCCUCUAUGGUGUUUUUUGGUCUGCGCUCACAUUGAAGUGAGAUGGACAGAGAACGUCCCCUCCCUGACAAACACACAUGUGAACACACACUCACACACAACCACCCAACUCUCGUGAGGCUCAGAGGCACAGGAAGCCAGCUCAGGUGAAUGAUCACCAUGUGCUUGGAGCUCCAGGAAGAAGAAAAAAAACGAUAUCUAAAAAGGAAAGAAAAAAACUAUCGCUCACCCUCUCCAGCACUGCUCGGAAAUAUUUGGUGUUUGUCUCUUUUGGGUGGCUGAGGACGGCAUUCGGGCAAACACAUUUCUACAGUUUCUACACUUCGGUUUAUUUGGGGUCUUAUUUUCCUUCUCUUGGCAUCUUUGUGUUGUUCCUGUUCAAGUGGCUGCUUCUCUGCAUCGCCAUAAUGUGAAGAACUCUGCGGAAUAGGAAGACUUGUGUGUCACACUUUGAAAAAAAUCUGGGCCACAUCUGGGCCUUGUGAACAGACAAAUCGGGGGCACGGACGGGGUCCUCCAGAAAAAACCCCAGUAUUGUUGCACAAUCCCCCCCAUAUCCACCACCACUCCCCCCCCACCACCCCCCUUUCCCACUCUCCCCUCUUCCUUUCCCACCUGCCUCCAUGUCUCUGAGCUUCUCUGAGGCUGCCACUGGCCACCAGGGCACAGGGUGGUUCCCAUGGAGACAAAGCGAGGCAUCGUUAUGGAAACGCAUGGAAAGGCACAGGCCACUGUUUUCAGCGAGGAGAAGAGAGGAGAGGAAGAGUGGAGACAAGAGGAGAGGAGAGGAGAGGAGACAAACCGCACACAGAAGGUCUUUUUUGGACCCCACAGAGCUGCCAUUUGUGAAGCUUUCUACAGAGGCUACCUACUCAUCACGUUUUUGUGUCAGAAGAAAAAAAAACACAAGACAUGUCAAUGGUGCAUUUUGUGCUGUGAUUAGAGAUCCGUAA